rnacentral:rRNA from 1 species
GAUGAACGCUGGCGGCGUGCCUAAUACAUGCAAGUCGAGCGAACAGACGAGGAGCUUGCUCCUCUGACGUUAGCGGCGGACGGGUGAGUAACACGUGGAUAACCUACCUAUAAGACUGGGAUAACUUCGGGAAACCGGAGCUAAUACCGGAUAAUAUAUUGAACCGCAUGGUUCAAUAGUGAAAGACGGUUUUGCUGUCACUUAUAGAUGGAUCCGCGCCGCAUUAGCUAGUUGGUAAGGUAACGGCUUACCAAGGCGACGAUGCGUAGCCGACCUGAGAGGGUGAUCGGCCACACUGGAACUGAGACACGGUCCAGACUCCUACGGGAGGCAGCAGUAGGGAAUCUUCCGAAAUGGGCGAAAGCCGGACGGAGCAACGCCGCGUGAGUGAUGAAGGUCUUCGGAUCGUAAAACUCUGUUAUGAGGGAAGAACAAAUGUGUAAGUAACUAUGCACGUCUUGACGGUACCUAAUCAGAAAGCCACGGCUAACUACGUG